GUGGGUAGUUUGACUGGGGCGGUCUCCUCCUAAAGAGUAACGGAGGAGCACGAAGGUUGGCUAAUCCUGGUCGGACAUCAGGAGGUUAGUGCAAUGGCAUAAGCCAGCUUGACUGCGAGCGUGACGGCGCGAGCAGGUGCGAAAGCAGGUCAUAGUGAUCCGGUGGUUCUGAAUGGAAGGGCCAUCGCUCAACGGAUAAAAGGUACUCCGGGGAUAACAGGCUGAUACCGCCCAAGAGUUCAUAUCGACGGCGGUGUUUGGCACCUCGAUGUCGGCUCAUCACAUCCUGGGGCUGAAGUAGGUCCCAAGGGUAUGGCUGUUCGCCAUUUAAAGUGGUACGCGAGCUGGGUUUAGAACGUCGUGAGACAGUUCGGUCCCUAUCUGCCGUGGGCGCUGGAGAACUGAGGGGGGCUGCUCCUAGUACGAGAGGACCGGAGUGGACGCAUCACUGGUGUUCGGGUUGUCAUGCCAAUGGCACUGCCCGGUAGCUAAAUGCGGAAGA
rnacentral:rRNA from 1 species